GUGUUCUAGGAACGACCAGAGAAAGAGAAAGAAGGUGAAAUCCUUCUCUAACCUAAAAUCAUCAAAUUGAAGGCAGAUUUGGGUCUAAAUUCGUGCAUGAAUCAAUAUUAGUUAUCACCUAGUCUAAGGGAUCAUAAGGCGACUCGAGUGGAGCUUCGGAAGGUAAAACCGGAUCGGACGUGCGUUUGAAAGGAAAGCUUUAAGGUACAUGGGUAAUGUAACUCAAGGAGACCAGAUAAUCCACAUAUGAAGAACCGAAUACAACUCAAGACCUAUGCUUCCGUGUUUUUGUCAUUUACAUUUUGAAAACUUAAACUUUAUGCAUUUUGUUCAAAAUAAACCUUUGUCGACUUUUAUUUAAAUCGAAGUUGAUAUGU